UAUUGAAUUUCUGUAGGAUUUUUUUGAGGGAUCUCUCCCAAUAUCUUACAUUUUUUAAUUUUUUUUUUUUUGGGGGGGUGCAGAGUAUUAAUUUUCUUUUUUUUUUCCACCCCCGGUAGUGGAUCUGCUGCGACAUCCGCUACCUGGACGUCAGCAUCCUGGGGAAGUUCGCGGUGGUGAUGGCCGACCCGCCCUGGGACAUCCACAUGGAGCUGCCCUACGGCACCCUCACCGACGACGAGAUGCGGCGCCUCAACAUCCCCGUCCUGCAGGACGAGGGCUUCCUCUUCCUCUGGGUGACCGGAAGGUGACAUGAUGGCGGGUCACCACUCUCCACCUCCCCACAGUGUCCCCCAAGUCCUCCCUGGUCACCACCUUCCACCACCUUCCAUCUUCUACCUUCCAUCAUCCACCAUCUUCCUCUUCCAUCUUCCAUCUUCCUCCUUCCACCAUCUUCCAUCUUCUACCUUCCAUCAUCCACCAUCUUCCUCUUCCAUCUUCCUCUUCCACCUUCCACCACCUUCCACCUUCCAUCAUCCACCAUCUUCCAUCUUCUACCUUCGAUCAUCCACCAUCUUCCAUCUUCCUCCAUCUUCCUCCACCUUCCACCAUCUUCCACCACCAUCUUCCACCAUCUUCCACCAUCUUCCUCCAUCUUCCUCCACCUUCCACCAUCUUCCACCACCAUCUUCCACCAUCUUCCACCAUCUUCCACCAUCUUCCACCACCAUCUUCCACCAUCUUCCACCAUCUUCCACCACCUUCCACCACCAUCUUCCACCAUCUUCCACCAUCUUCCACCAUCUUCCACCACCAUCUUCCACCAUCUUCCUCCACCUUCCUCCAUCUUCCUCCACUUUCCACCAUCUUCCUCCACCAUCUUCCACCACCUUCUUCCACCUUCCUCCAUGUUCUUCCCCCAAAAACC
rnacentral:lncRNA from 1 species